AGAAGAAGAUUAAUUGGUAGAGUAAAUAGGCGCGUGUAUUGAUGUAUGUAGUCAUAUAUGCUGUGUUUUUUAAAGAGCAACUUGACUAAUUUAUCACUUUGAUUGAGAUAAAAAAAGUGGAAGCAUUACCCUUUAAUUUAUUGCAUUGAAUUUCCUUGUCAUUAUAUAUAGCCUAUUGUAAGGUGUUACUACCUACAAGCUAUCAAAAACUAAUGGCAACCCGCAUGACUCUUCUCAUGUUUACCUUUGCAAUUAUGUGCAUUGCUUCAGUUCAAAUUGCAGGAGCUUGGUUUGGAUCUAAUUGUGGUAUUAUCAAAAAUUGUAAUCCAACCGACUGCCUCAAAUAUUGUAAUUCAAGGGGCUAUCAUGCUGCACGGUGUCACCCAAACGGAUACAACUGUUGUUGCUAUGGAUAGGCUUGACGAUUACAAGUUUUCAAUAUCCUUGUAAUAGUAUAUAUGCAAACAUAGUCAAUAUGACUUUCAUAAAAUAAGUUUCAAAAUAAAGAUUGUAAUUUCAAUCAAAACUUGAUUAUUAUACUA